CACCGCGGUUAUACGGUUAGCCCAAGCUGAUAGUCAUACGGCGUAAAGGGUGGUUAAGAAUUUGCUAAUAUAAAGCCGAAGAUCUUCCUAGCCGUAAUAAGCUCCAGAGGACACGAAGACCAAAAGCGAAGGUGACUUUAUAACUUCUGAACCCACGAAAACUGGGAAA
rnacentral:rRNA from 1 species